GCUUGUCUCAAAGAUUAAGCCAUGCAUGUCUUAGUGUAAAUAACUCUUAUGAAACUGCGAAUGGCUCAUUAAAUCAGUUAUCAAAUACGUGAUGGUCGCCUACUACAUGGAUAACCGUAGUAAUUCUAGAGCUAAUACAUGCACAAAGGCCCACUCACGUGGGUUGUGAUUAUUAGAUUCAAACCGGCCUCGUUCUGGUGAUUCAUAAUAACUGUGCGGAUCGCGUUUUACGCGAUAAAUCGAUUGAGUUUCUGCCCUAUCAGCUUUGGAUGGUAGGAUAUGGGCCUACCAUGGCAUUAACGGGUAACGGGGAAUUAGGGUUUGAUUCCGGAGAGGGAGCCUUAGAAACGGCUACCACAUCCAAGGAAGGCAGCAGG
rnacentral:rRNA from 1 species